GUGAGGAAUAUUGGGCAAUGGGCGGAAGCCUGACCCAGCCAUUCCGCGUGCAGGAAGAAGGCCUUAUGGGUUGUAAACUGCUUUUCUGCGGGGAGAAAAGCUCCAACGCGUUGGGGAAUGACGGUACCGCAGGAAUAAGCAUCGGCUAACUCCGUGCCAGCAGCCGCGGUAAUACGGAGGAUGCGAGCGUUAUCCGGAUUCAUUGGGUUUAAAGGGUGCGCAGGCGGCGCGAUAAGUCAGUGGUGAAAUUUUGCCGCUUAACGGUAGGUGUGCCAUUGAUACUGUUGUGCUUGAGUGCGGUUGAGGCAGGUGGAAUGUGCAGUGUAGCGGUGAAAUGCAUAGAUAUUGCACAGAACGCCGAUUGCGGAGGCAUCUUGCUAAGCCGCCACUGACGCUGAGGCACGAAAGCGUGGGUAGCGAACAGGAUUAGAUACCCUAGUAGUCC
rnacentral:rRNA from 1 species